GAUGAACGCUGGCGGCGUGCCUAAUACAUGCAAGUCGAGCGAACGGACGAGAAGCUUGCUUCUCUGAUGUUAGCGGCGGACGGGUGAGUAACACGUGGAUAACCUACCUAUAAGACUGGGAUAACUUCGGGAAACCGUAGCUAAUACCGGAUAAUAUUUUGAACCGCAUGGUUCAAAAGUGAAAGACGGUCUUGCUGUCACUUAUAGAUGGGUCCGCGCUGCAUUAGCUAGUUGGUAAGGUAACGGCUUACCAAGGCAACGAUGCAUAGCCGACCUGAGAGGGUGGUCGGCCACACUGGAACUGAGACACGGUCCAGACUCCUACGGGAGGCAGCAGUAGGGAAUCUUCCGCAAUGGGCGAAAGCCUGACGGAGCAACGCCGCGUGAGUGAUGAAGGUCUUCGGAUCGUAAAACUCUGUUAUUAGGGAAGAACAUAUGUGUAAGUAACUGUGCACAUCUUGACGGUACCUAAUCAGAAAGCCACGGCUAACUACGUG
rnacentral:rRNA from 1 species